AGCGGAGAACCUGGACUUGAGACUAAGAAAAUUUCCUCCAUUCUUGCAGGAUGAUCAUUGAUUCAUACCGUUCUAAGUUUAAAGCAUGUUUUAUGUGGUGUGGUACCUUUGGUUCAAGACAGUGAAGAUAAAGGACAGGGAGGUCAGCUGCCAGACAACGUGUUUGGCAAGGAUGCAGUUGUUGAUCCAAAAUCAACCGUCGAACCUCUGCCUCUGCCAAAAGAUAAAAAGUGUGGGACAUAACCUGUGAAACAAUCGACCAGUGCAGCCGACAAGAAAAAACAACCCUUAGACCGUAGAAGUACAUGGCUCCAGCUUCACGG